UGACGGGGUGGCCGAGUAGGUGGCGGGCUGUAGACCCGUUUACGGGGUUAGGCCCCCCCCGUCAA
rnacentral:tRNA from 1 species